UGUGUAGGCGGCGUGAAAAGUCAGAUGUGAAAUCUGGGGGCUCAACCUUCAAAUAGCAUCCGAUACUGUCAUGCUGGAGGUCUGUAGAGGAGUCUGGAAUUCUCGGUGUAGCAGUGAAAUGCGUAGAUAUCGAGAGGAACACUUGUUGCGAAAGCGAGACUCUGGGCAGAAACUGACGCUGAAACACGAAGGCCAGGGUAGCGAACG
rnacentral:rRNA from 1 species